UUCGCAAGCCGGCUUAUCGCUCCAAUAGCUAUUGGGGAGGAAAGUCCGGGCAACACAGAGCAUCGUACUUCCUAACAGGAAGGCCCCGACUUGUUGGGGACAGAAAGUGCCACAGAAAACAAACUACCCCGAUGUAUCGGGGAAAAGGUGAAAAGGUGGGGUAAGAGCCCACCGCUUUGAUGGUGACAUCAGAGGCACGGCAAACCUUACGAGUUGAAAGGCCAAAUAGGUCACACGCACGCAAGUGAUUAGCUGCUCGUUAAUAGCGCAAGCUGGUGUGAUUGGGUAGGCUGCUAGAUUCUGAUGGCAACAUCAGAGCCAGAUAAAUGAUAAGCAUCGCACCAUUGGUGCGAUACAGAACCCGGCUUACAGGCUUGCAUUUUUU
rfam:Bacteroidetes bacterium OLB12 TZ12_BCD005CONTIG000052, whole genome shotgun sequence.